rnacentral:lncRNA from 1 species
UGGUUUCUGCAUUUUUAAUUCUUUUGUUUUUCAUCUCCUAUAGUUUUUUGUUUUUGUUAAAAGUGGUGGAUACAUUUUCCAGGAACUUUCAAGUAAAUUUUCUAACUACAAAAAAGGAAUGAAGAAAAUGCAAUAGAGGCUUUCAUUGGAUUUUUGUUUUCUGCUUUUUAUAUUUACCAGCUUCUUACAUUUUCCGCUUUCCUUGGUUGAAGAUGGUUGAACAUUGUUGGUUAAUUUGAACAAGAUAGAUGAAUCUAUU